rnacentral:tRNA from 1 species
GCCGCCGUAGCUCAGCCCGGGAGAGCACCCGGCUGAAGACUUAGUUUAGACACCGGGUUGUCCGGGGUUCAAGUCCCCGCGGCGGCA